GAUGAACGCUGGCGGCGUGCCUAAUACAUGCAAGUCGAGCGAACAGACGAGGAGCUUGCUCCUCUGACGUUAGCGGCGGACGGGUGAGUAACACGUGGAUAACCUACCUAUAAGACUGGGAUAACUUCGGGAAACCGGAGCUAAUACCGGAUAAUAUAUUGAACCGCAUUGUUCAAUAGUGAAAGACGGUUUUGCUGUCACUUAUAGAUGGAUCCGCGCCGCAUUAGCUAGUUGGUAAGGUAACGGCUUACCAAGGCAACGAUGCGUAGCCGACCUGAGAGGGUGAUCGGCCACACUGGAACUGAGACACGGUCCAGAUUCCUACGGGAGGCAGCAGUAGGGAAUCUUCCGCAAUGGGCGAAAGCCUGACGGAGCAACGCCGCGUGAGUGAUGAAGGUCUUCGGAUCGUAAAACUCUGUUAUUAGGGAAGAACAAAUGUGUAAGUAACUAUGCACGUCUUGACGGUACCUAAUCAGAAAGCCACGGCUAACUACGUG
rnacentral:rRNA from 1 species